rnacentral:misc_RNA from 1 species
CUCAUGUCUAAUGAUGUCGGUGAUGCGAAGUCAGCUGAAGAUGCGGCUGCAUGUAUCGCUUUAUCUAAAAAUGAUUCUUAUGUCAUGUCUGCUUCUGGUGGGAAGGUCUCCUUGUUUAACAUGAUGACCUUCAAGGUGAUGACAACUUUCAUGCCACCACCCCCUGCAGCCACCUAUUUGGCAUUUCAUCCUCAAGAUAACAAUGUUAUUGCUGUAGGAAUGGAGGACUCCACUAUCCAGAUAUAUAAUGUUAGGGUGGAUGAGGUCAAAAUCAAGCUCAAG